rnacentral:rRNA from 1 species
GAUGAACGCUGGCGGCGUGCCUAAUACAUGCAAGUCGAGCGAACAGACGAGGAGCUUGCUCCUCUGACGUUAGCGGCGGACGGGUGAGUAACACGUGGAUAACCUACCUAUAAGACUGGGAUAACUUCGGGAAACCGGAGCUAAUACCGGAUAAUAUAUUGAACCGCAUGGUUCAAUAGUGAAAGACGGUUUUGCUGUCACUUAUAGAUGGAUCCGCGCCGCAUUAGCUAGUUGGUAAGGUAACGGCUUACCAAGGCAACGAUGCGUAGCCGACCUGAGAGGGAGGUGGCCCACAGUGGAACGUAGCCCCGGUCCGGCCUCCGCGGGAGGGAGCAGGAAGGGAUUCUUCCGCAAGGGGGAAAAGCCGGACGGAGCACCGCCGCGGGAGUAAGAAAGGUCUUCGGAUAUAAAAACCUUGUUAUGAGGGAAAAACAAAUUUGUACGUAACUGUGCACUUCUUGGCGGUCCCUAAUCAGAAAGCCCGGCCUAACUCCGGG